rnacentral:rRNA from 1 species
UACGGAGGGGGCUAGCGUUGUUCGGAAUUACUGGGCGUAAAGCGCACGUAGGCGGCUUUGUAAGUUAGAGGUGAAAGCCCGGGGCUCAACUCCGGAAUUGCCUUUAAGACUGCACCGCUAGAAUUGUGGAGAGGUAAGUGGAAUUCCGAGUGUAGAGGUGAAAUUCGUAGAUAUCGGGAGGAACACCAGUGGCGAAGGCGGCUCUCUGGGCAGAUACUGACGCUGAGACGCGAAAGCGUGGGUAGCAAACAGG